UGGGGAAUAUUGCACAAUGGGCGCAAGCCUGAUGCAGCCAUGCCGCGUGUAUGAAGAAGGCCUUCGGGUUGUAAAGUACUUUCAGCGGGGAGGAAGGGAGUAAAGGUAAUACCUUUACUCAUUGACGUUACCCGCAGAAGAAGCACCGGCUAACUCCGUGCCAGCAGCCGCGGUAAUACGGAGGGUGCAAGCGUUAAUCGGAAUUACUGGGCGUAAAGCGCACGCAGGCGGUUUGUUAAGUCAGAUGUGAAAUCCCCGGGCUCAACCUGGGAACUGCAGCUGAUACUGGCAAGCUUGAGUCUCGUAGAGGGGGGAAGAAUUCCAGGUGUAGCGGUGAAAUGCGUAGAGAUCUGGAGGAAUACCGGUGGCGAAGGCGGCCCCCUGGACGAAGACUGACGCUCAGGUGCGAAAGCGUGGGGAGCAAACAGG
rnacentral:rRNA from 1 species